AUUGAACGCUGGCGGCAUGCUUUACACAUGCAAGUCGAACGGCAGCACGAAAGAGCUUGCUCUUUUGGUGGCGAGUGGCGAACGGGUGAGUAAUGCAUCGGAACGUACCGAGUAAUGGGGGAUAACUGUCCGAAAGGAUAGCUAAUACCGCAUACGCUUUGAGAAGGAAAGUGGGGGCUCUUCGGACCUCACGUUAUUCGAGCGGCCGAUGUCUGAUUAGCUAGUUGGUGGGGUAAAGGCCUACCAAGGCGACGAUCAGUAGCGGGUGUGAGAGGAUGAUCCGCCACACUGGGACUGAGACACGGCCCAGACUCCUAAGGGAGGCAGCAGUGGGGAAUUUUGGACAAUGGGCGCAAGCCUGAUCCAGCCAUGCCGCGUGUCUGAAGAAGGCCUUCGGGUUGUAAAGGACUUUUGUUAGGGAAGAAAAGGAUAGUGUUAAUACCAUUAUCUGCUGACGGUACCUAAAGAAUAAGCACCGGCUAACUACGUG
rnacentral:rRNA from 1 species